GGAGCUGCUCCGGCCCAGCUGCAGCCAUGAGCUUCUGGCAGUGAGAGGAAAGGCCUUCACAGUAAUGUCUGAACAGCAAGGGCGAGGACACCCUUUUUCUCAUUGUAACAAAGGGUUUCCCAAGUAGUCCCUAGUUUGGGUUUAUCCUCGCUGGUGCAGCCACACCAUGGUGUAGAAAUGCCAAAGCUGUAUUUAAGGACUGCAGCUCAGGCAGGAAAGAGUAUCAUGUUUGGCUCUAACACCCACCCAAAAAACAAGGCUGCCCUGAGCCUUUUCCUGCUAUCUCAGCUUGGUUUAAUCAUCUUGGUCACACAGUUCAGGUACACUUUACAAGGAGCUGAAGGAGGGAAAUUUAUGUUAGAUAUUAGGAAGGAAUUCUGUCUUGUGAGGGUGGUGAGGCUCUGGAACAGGUUGCCCAGAGAGAUUGUGGCUGCCUCAUUCCUGGCAGUGUUCCAGGCCAGAUUGGAUGGGGCUCUGAGCAACCUGGGAUAGUGGAAGGUGUCCCUGCCCACAGCAGAUGGGUUUGGGACCAGGUGAUCUUUAAGGUCACUUACAACUCCUUAUCAUUCUAUCAUGUGAAUCAGCUCAGAGCCAGGCUUUCUCCUUACAAAAUCCAGAGCUCAGUGUGCAGGACAGCACCAUCUCUUCCAGGAAGCCACACACUGGACUUCAGUUUGGUGAGACACCCAGGAAACUGAACACAAAGCCUGCCCUGCCACAAGCCUCAAUUUUUAUACUUCCUCAGCUAGUCCUACCAUGCUUGGGCUGGCUCCCUCAGCUGCAUGUCCAUGUGAGAGAUUCCCACUGCACAUAUUCCUCUGUAAAGAAACAUUCACCAGUCUUCACACAGCACCCCAGGCUGCUCUAUCGCUGUACAACCCAUCAAGGGAGGUGAAGGAGGAGGGUCAAAACUCUUGAGCUCAGGAAGAGAUAACACGGGUGCUAGAGAUAAGAAGGAAGGAGGGAAAUAAUGCAACGUGGAGUCAGCUUUGAGAGCAUAGAGAGCAGAAGGAGCUUGCUGAAGGAAAAGACUUAGAAGGUUGCUGCCAACAUCUCCCUCGUGCCAGUGCACACAUGACCAUGUAUGAGCCAUCCCAGGGAGUUGUCAAGACAAAAAAAAAACAACCCAGGAGCAGAGUGAUGUGAGCAGCCAUAAAGCAGGUCCAUGUCCUCCAUGUGCUGGGACCCCAGAGCAGCUGUAUAAGCUGCACAAGAGGACAAGAACACAGGACUGGGCAGCAAAGCAGGAACAGGAAAGCAGAAACCUGGACUUAGCCCUACGUUCUGGUGAAACCACACCCAGGAUCCACAGACCAGUCCCUGCCACUCCAGUGUAGGUGUCUCUCUGUGUGUGACUGCCAAGCACUCUGCACACAGAGCCAGGUGCUCCCUCAACAGCCCACGCACACCAGCAGCAGCAGAGCAGGGGGCUUUUACACCCUCAGUCCUGGCCCUCUGCUAGGAACAUGUCUGCUGCCCUCCCAGGUGAGAAGCAGGCACCAGGGGAGCAGGAUAUUCUAAUUGGAUUCACAACCAUUUCCAAAUGAGCGAUUGUUUUUAUGGUUUUAUGUUUCCUUGUCUUGUUAUUGCCACUGACUGGGCCGUUCCAGGGAACCCACAGCCAGCCUUCUUCCCAUAGGAAAGGGCUGGCUCUGAGGGGAUGUUGCGUGGAAGAGAGGUGAAUUAGGAGACAGCCCCUGUCCAACUCUGAAAACAAGUAACAACAUGUGGAGAUCCUCGGAAAAGCCCUGGAAACCUCCUCAAACCACCUGCAAAGUCUAGCAGGGAAAUACUCCAAAGGGAAGGGAAGGGGAAGACAUUCUUGUGACCUUGUCUUUCAGAUCAAACUGAAUAUAAAUCAGGGGUUUAAAUGCUGUUACUGAUAUACAUCAGUCUUAGAAAAUGCUUUUUAUAACCAGCUUUACCAAUUAGUACUACCUUAUUUCAAGGUUUAUAGUAGUAAUUACAGCUCAUAGAUGUUGUAGUGAAGAUUUAGCAUUAGUUCCUAAUACUGUCAUUAACAGUAUAUUAUAAAAAUUUUUAAAAAAAGAAAAAGGUAGAGACCCACAGGUACAAACUUAAAAAAAUUAAGAAACAGAACACACAGAUGAAUACUGAUAUUCUCUAUUUCAGUAUUAUUUCCCCUUCUUUCUCAAUGUGCAAAAAUUACAUCCACAUACUUUCGUGUUCAGUACACCUCCAAGUGUGGACUAAUUAAAAGCAUUUAUUUUAUACCAGCUCAGAAAUAUUACUAACAUUUCUUUGAUGCAUUAAUUAAAAUAUUUUCCUAUUUUAAUAAUAAAACAUGUUUCAAUGCAUAAGGAACAACUAGAGAUAUUUUCAUCCUUCCUCUCUCUGUUUUCAUUUUUCUGCACAUGAAUGAGGGGGCAGAGUCUGUUUUCCACCACCACCCUUCCAGAUUCUCUAAAACUGCACUCCUUGCUGGCUUCAUGAUCUUCAGAUAUUAGCUGAGCAAUCAGGAUCCUAAGAUUGCCUUUGGGAGUCUUUGAAGACCUCAACUCUGUCUCUUCUUGACUGGCCUACGGCUUCCUUUUGCUCAGCCCUGUGGCAUGUAACACCACCUCUCUCUUUCCCCUCCCAGGUCCCACCUUAUCAGAUGGCAAUGCUGAGGAGUAAAAUAAGGUCUGUGUGCCUCAAAUUUACCCCAAGCUCCUGAAUUCAGUGUAGCAGUGAGAAAUCAGAGGAUGAGGCAACUUAACAGCGGCCUGUGAGUAACAGUGGAAAAUCGAGCUGAUAAAAUUUCCUUCACCUCUUUUAUGACACGGUCACAAAAUGAUAGCUCUGGCUGAGGAAUGCCAAGUCCUCGCGUCCCCCAGCCUACACAGGCGUGCAUGGCAUAUUCUAAUUGGACUGGUGCAUACCUUCCCAUCCAUGAGAGACUUCCCCCAGGAAGCCAUAGGCACCAGGCAAAUGAAAUCAGAGACUCAGCUCCUUCGCCUUCCCAUUACCUUCAACACGCUUUGAUCAGCGGGGCAUAAAUAAACACGUAAACAUCCCAUCUCUGCCAAGGUCAAUGAGAUGCAGCAGAGUUCCUCCAGUUACCUAAAGGAGUUCAUUGGACUUAGGAUGGGGAAAAUGCUUUGCUGUGCUUAAAAAAGAAAUCACUGCAUGUAACAGCAAAGCGUAUGAUGUGCUGUGACCACUGUAGUUUGGGAAAGCUAAGAGCAAUAGAGAGCCUGAAGGGGGAAGGGUUGGGAUUGUCAGUGGACCAUACCCAAGAAGGAUGGAAGAGCCAGAGCUCUCCUUCUUGGAGUCCUCUUCCCAAACACCUUCCUGUAUGGAAAAUUUGGUCUAACCUCUGCCAGACUGAUGCAUCUGAGGAACCCAGCUUUCAGCACAGAUUUUUGCUGCCUAUUACUGAAGCCAGCACCUCACCUCAUCCACUUGUGCCAUAGAAGAUGCAAUUACAGCUGUCCCCACAGCAGGACACGCAGCAUUGCUGCUUUUGAUGCAAACAUAGGGAAUACCCCAGCAUUCCAAACCUUUGGCUAUUCCUGCACUUGCCCUAGCAGAAGGUGGCAAAGAUGCACCCUGCUGUUUUAAGUCUUGCCUCUCCUCAUGGCUAGGGCUUAUGAGCAUGGGUGCAGCCACUAGAAAUUUCAAGCCAGUGGGGCCCACAAAGGAUAUCUGUUAUCACCAGUAACAUAAUCCAGGCUGGAAGGGGAACACACAUUAGGAUAUGGGGGGCUCUCCUUCCUACAGUGCCUCGCUGCAGCCAUUCAUUAAAAGGAGUCUCUACAGAUGACUUAGAUUGUAACCGGUUUUGGCGUACUUUUAG